GAGGUCUAGCAAAACGAGGUGCUCCCUCAAACCAGAGAUCAUCUGAAUCAAUUACUGGCUUGCAUUCUAAGAUGUAUUUUGCCUAAGUCUACAGCUAUAGUUAACCAAAAAAAAAAAAAAAGCUGAGAGAGCAGGAAAGAAAGAGUUCAUAGCCUGAGCACCAUCACCUGCCAUUUCUCAUCUUAUUUGAAUUUGUGUUGAGAUCGAACGUUUCCUGACGGCGACAAGGCACGAAGCCGCGUAGUGCCGCAGCCUGCCUCCGCUCCCGGCAGCCGCAGCCCUGCGCCCGGCCGCGCUCCGACCCACCGAGACGCAUAAGUUUACGAGGAAACGGGAGUUUCCAGAGCAAGUAUAAUGAGAAACUCUUCCUUCAACCACAAAAUAAAGGAACAAUUUCUUGGAAAGCGAGUGACUACUUAUGAGCUAAGCUGAGCUCACUGAAGAUGCCAUGAAGUGAAGGAAAAUUGAAAUUGUGCUGCCUGUUCAUCAUGUAUUGUGUUCUCUCCAGUCUGCAGCUAUAACAGUAUGGAUGAAUAGAGGCACCUCUGCUUCCACGGAACAGCAAAACAGAGUAAUUUAGCCAGUAGAAAUGUCACUUCAGCACUCAAAAUUAAUUACACUGUUAAAAAAGACUUUCCAUUGUUUUUAUUCCCCUAAAAACCCCAGCAUUUUAAUGGUAAGCAUUCACUGUUACACUUUCUCAUUUUAACAGUCAGAUACUUUGCCUCUCCGUAAGUCCUUGGCAUCUAUUUUAAUCAUGUGAAUAACAAAGGAGUAGCAGGAUCUUUUUCUGUAAAUUACAUAAAAUACAUUCAACUCUGAAAGGUAAAAGAAAAAAUUACUUAAUGUCAUUUACAGACUUAAUUACUUUCUGUAAUUUUCCUUCUAUAUCUGAUUUAUUUACUCUAAAUCUAUUGUUACUGAAUUCAAAAUGAGGUUUUGAACAGAAGAAUUACUGUUAUUUAAAUAUUUUAACUUUUACAGUGGAUUCUGCUCCUGAGGUUUGGUUUCUUCCUCCUUCUUACAGCCCAUUUCUAUUAAUAGAAGUUUUUCAGAACAAAUCCUGGCUGCCAUCCCGUGUUUGCAGCUCCCAUGACUUUAAAUGACUCCAUCAGUUACGCUGGGGGUCUAAAGCCAUUCCAGUUGUUUGCAGCUCAGUUCCCAAUUAUAUUCUUGUUACUUGAGAAUGCAGUGGAUCUGCAAUAUUCUCAAUUUUGUUACUUUUCAUGGCUAACAGUUAUGAAAAGUAAUUUUUAUUUAUAUGACAAGCACAUAAAACCUCAAAGACUCAAAGUAAGUAGACUGAUUGAAUGAGAUAAUUUUUUAAAUGACCAUGUCAUUUAAAGCGGUGACAAGUAUUUCGUUGUCAUUUCAUACCUCAUCUGGCUACUUUGACAAGCUCACUUUGCAUUCAUUAAGCAAUUUCUGUUUAGCAGUAUUCGUCCUGUCAAAACAGCUUACAAAAUUUCUCAGUAGUGAGAAAAAAAGCCUUGUAGAAACAGGGAAAUAGUAUUUUCUCGUUUAUGGGAAAGAAUAAGUCUGUUUCAGUUUUACAAGCAAAAGAAAAUUUAGUUUAUUCUGUACUCUGAUUUAUUAUUCUCUACUAAGAAAAUCUAAGCAUCCUUGCUGGUGCCAAUAAUGAAUCUGAGAAGAAACAAUAUUUGUUCUGAGCAGCUGACAAAUGUAAGGAUGAUGUUAGUGUUAUCCCCACUCUCUUGAGGUAAAUUGCAGAGGCUGUGAACACGAUGGGUUAAUAUAAAGAUCCAAGGCAUGUUUUUACUUGCAUACUUUAUAAAGAAAGCAGAGACAUUACAAAAAUAUACAAAGAAUAAAAUAAUUAGAGUGUAUGACAAGACAGUUUGUUAUAGUUAACCAAAUUCUGGAAACUUGAAAUAAAGAGGAUAAAAGAGAAAUCAUUGUAUUUGUAUCCAGUCCUCAGGUGGAAAUCAAUUUCACCCUAGCUACUCCUUUCUAAAGAGUACUUUUCAGGUUUCUAGAAAAAGGUUUUGUCUUUUUCUUUUCUAACUUUGUCAUGCAGAGUCCUAUUGUGUCUCACCUAAUAUGUUUGCUUAAAGACACAUCAGUGGCUACUUUUUUACCUGGCUGAAACCAAACAAGUUUGGUUAUGUUGGCAUUACUGCAAAGACUCACUGAGAGCAGCGAUAGCAGAACAUGAAAAAUCCUAUUUUCUUAUAGCCAGUGCUGUAAGAUCACAGCAAAGUAUGCAAAUUUGGUACAGGGAGAGAGAGAUUGGCUUUUAUUUCUAAACCAACCUGACAAUGUUUAAAAGUUUUCUAUAGAAGCUCAUGAACAUUUUGUCAUUAACAAGUUUCUCUGUAACUUGAAGGACCCAUGUUCAGCUUGGUUAAGAACUUGCAGAGAAAGCUUGAUUCAAGCAUUUGAAUUUGACCUCAUUCUCAAGGUAGAAAACCAUUGUUUUUUUAAAAAAAAAGAGCUAAAUGAGUUUCGUGGUGGAGUUAGCACAGACAAAGCAGAAGGAAGCUCUACAAGGAUUAUGAAGUGCUGAUCAUAAUCCUUGUAGCCUCCCAAUGUACUGUUGACACGGUCACAAAAGACUUUAUCAAUAUGAAAGUAUUUUGUUAAAAAAAAAAAAGACUUGAAAGCCUCAAACCAACCUUUUCCCAGCAGUAUCAAAAAAAAUGAGAAGUUUUCUAGGCAGUCAGAUAUUCCCAUGACUCUAGUUUUGGCAGAAAACACAGCCCUUUGUCUGAACAGAAAAUUUUGACCAGUCUAACUAAAAUCUUCUUUAAAAAGUAAUAGCAGAUAAGACAUUUCAGAAGGUUGUAUGGGUGCUGAGUUACAACCUUUGGGGUUGUAACUAGCACAGACAAAUUAGGAAUGUUCAAGGCAGGGUAAAAACUGUUAAAAAAGCUGUUUAAAAAAAAUGUUAAAAAUGCAAGAGAGAACCAAGCAAAAUAAAAAAGCUAUUUUCAUAGACUAUACAUUAUGUUAUCACAUUUUUGUAAGAAAAGACAAGGUCAUACGCAGAAAAAAACAGUGAAAGGAGCAGGAAUGAAAUGGAUGAGAUAAUCAGAAGUGGACAGUGCUUGCAGGAUUUUACAGGAGACCACCAGAAACGUAUGUGUAAGCCAUUUAGGAUGCAGUUCAGACCUGCCAUGCACUGUAUUUAGAAACUGAGGGAGAAAAGGAAAAUAAUAUUAAAGUACUUUUUAAUUUGUCACAGUAGGGAAAUUAAUUGCUAUAAAAAAGAAACUCUCAGAUUUUACCUGAUUUUACUGUUUCUUUACCAUCAAGAUAUUUAGAAUGACAUUUUGUAAUUGAUCUUGGCUGCGACUGAGCAGCACAUACGCACUAUGUAGUUCCCAAUUCUUUGCUGUAUGAUCAGUCAAACAUCAGUCAAACCAUUCAUGUCCUGUUAUUUAAAAAAGGCUAGAAGAAAUGGGAACUGCACUAAAUGAGAAAAUAAUGAAAGCAAAUGAAUGUAUAAUGACUGCGUAAGCAAUGAAUAUUAGGCAGUAAUUAAGUAUUUUUAUUUCUGUGCCUGUUGGAGAAUAGUUCAAAAUCAGUGAAAAUAAUGAAAAAAUAGUAUCAGUUGGUUAAUAGCUAAUGCAUCUACCAUGCUAUAUAUCCUAAGUCACUGGAGAUGAGAAGUCUUUUUUAUUUUUAAAUAGAAAAGAUGGUGGAUGACACAGAGACUUCCCAACAGGAGCUGCAGAGUGUUAACAGUGGUCAGUUCUACUCUUGGCAACUGGAGUCAUGUUUCAUGAAAGAUGCAUGCCUGCAUCCUGGAUGAGGCUUUCCAAACAAGCUCUUGCUGUUUGCAUGGUAAUGAAGCAUUCCCAAAAGGUGUUGAAAAUAGUCAGCAGGACUAAUGAGAUUUUAGCACAAGGCUCAAAUCAGUAUGCCAGUCACAUUUCACAGGCUGCAGUCAAUGCCAGCUGCAGGGAUGAGAGGUCAUGUUCCUUUUCAAUUACACCCCCUUCAUGAUAGGCGUGAGCAGUGCAGUGUUUCCAGUUUGGCAUUUGCAGGUUGGAUAGUACAGGUGCAGGGGUGUCUCAACCCCAAAGAAAAAUGUGGUACAUCUGGCUUCUGUAGGGGAAGAGGUAGGAAGAGGGUGGCAGGGACACUAAAGAAAGAAAUGACAAGUAUGUAUGAGAAGUCAGUGGCAGCAUUGUCCCACUCCACUUCGUGAUGUGAAGGAAUGCUACGUGGUCAUUACUCAAAGGUAACAUCCUGUGCAAAAACAUAAAACUUCUUACUUGAAACUGGGGAUUUUUAUUCUUCUAGCUGAAGAAAGUAAGGUAAGAAAGAACAAAUCAUGUAACAAGAGAAGGGAAAAAGUGAGCAGUAACAAAGAAAGGAAAAGAAUCCCCCAAAGGAUGGAGAAAUUUGAUAUCCAAAGGUGGGGGUAUCACCAAGAGUUUAGACACCAAGUUCUGGGGUUUAUCUCUGCCCCUGGACGUCCAUCCUCUGGGGCAAUGAGGUGAAGGAGAUGGUCUUGUUUUUCCUUCAGAAAGCGUCUCUUCUAAUGCCAUUUAACUCUGGUUCCUCUGGACUCAUCUCCACGUCUCUGUGCUUUGAAUUGCUUCCUCACCCUUGGCCUUCAUCAAAUUAAAUUAUGCACAAGAGGUCAUCUGUUGUAAUUUUUAAGGGCAGAAGGGUUUCUCACCGAAAGUGGAGUCUAAAUUCCAAGUCUCACUUGCAAAUCCAGAGUAUGACUAAAACAAAGCCCCAGUGCGUCCCACAACAGUGCUGGGCAGCUCCUUUUCUUUACCCAUCAACUGAACUCAGCAUACCAUCACUUUGCCUUAAAACAUGUCUGAUCUUUUAGUUGUUCCGGGUUUUUUUCAGAUACUCAGGCUUUUUCUAGAUUUUUUCAGAUACUCAGUUUUUUUCUACAGUUCUUUUUGGGCAAUAAACAAUCCAUUAAAGAAAUAAAUGUUCUCUCUCCUUUCAACAAACCAGCUGCUUUCAGUGUGUGUUGUUGCAAGGGCUGGACGGGUCAGAGCAUGACUGUGCUAUAAUGUGCAGUGUCUGCUCUUCUUCAUGUUGGCUCCAGGCCCUGUGAAGUCAGUGGGGGCUCAACCAGACAAGACAAUGAAAAGUGAAAGACUUCUGCAGGAAUCUGCACACAGACAUACAGACUUCAAUAAUAUAUUCUUUCUCAAGGGGGUGAAGCAACAGAUUUCCAUUUUCUACUGUUGUGAAAAACAGAAACUUAAUUCAGCCAUCGUGCAUGCUGUUUUCUUUCACCUAGGGGGAGUUCCAAGGUCUUUUCCUUGUGGUAAUUAACAGCUUUGCAACCCCACAGUGCCUGCAAAGGCACUAUGAAACAAAGGCAGCUCAGGGAGACUUGGAGAAGAGGAAUAACGUGGAGAGGAAAGCCCCAUGUUCAGUUUCAUCUCUCUCUGGACAAAUGAAAUGACCUUUCUGAGCAGAGCACAGUGGCAGAAUAUAACAAAGUAUUCAUUAUUACACUUAAUUAAUGUAAUUUUAAGUGCUGGGUUCAAUUUGAAGACAGGAUUCUUCAUGAGUUGAAGUGUGGUACAGUUCUGUGUAAAUCAGCAGAUUUUUACAAGAGUACAUAUGUAAGAAUGUCAAAAUCAUACAAUUCAUAUUUAUGAAUAGAAGAAAAUGUACGUGGAUUCUAGGCAUAAGUGUUUUGUUUGAAAUCUCUGUGUGGAAAUGAUUCAGCAGCAGCUAAAUUGUAAAGGUAGAACGCUAAAGUCUCCUCGCUGUUAUGUUAAGCUUAUGCCAUCUGAGAAAUAGGAGCACUGAUGUGCUAUUCCACAAGCCAUAUGAAAUGAAAGAGACAGCAAAACUCUGUCCCAUUUUUAGAAUUCAGUUUUUGGAAGAAUUUUCCACUGCUGAAAGGGAAGUAGCAGUGGGAGGUUUGUGAAUGGUCUAGAUGAUAAACAACUUGAAUCACACACAGAAUGAGGAGUCACAGUGGUUAAAAUCCUCACCCCUUUGAAGCUGACAGGAGAUUCGGCAGCCAAACGCAAGAGAGCCAGCCUCCACAAGCGCUGGUUUGGCCUUCCCUGCAACGUUGCAAGAGCUUUGCAAAUCGUUCUGUUGGCAAAACAAAGUGAGUGUUGUGGAAAGAGAAGGAAAAACAGGAGCUAUUUGUUCCAUUGCAAAUGACAGUCAGAAAUGCUUACUGGUCUCCUGCAUCAUUAUUCUUCCCUGGAACCAAACUUUGGAUCUCAGGUGGAAAAUUUUCUUGAUGUGUGGAGACAGAUAUAUUUAAUCCAUGAAACUAAAGGCAAACUUUGAAAGCAAAGUGCCUCCAGGAAGAGUAAAGCCAAGAAGAGCUUUGAGAAAUAUGGUUCAUGCACCCACACUUGCAGUCGGAAGUCAGGCUGGGACAUGGUUCACCACUCACACUAGAGGGAUUUCAACACUGAGAGAAUAAUACCUACUAGUCACCACCACAACUCUCUUUUCCAACACUUCUUACUAGAAGAUAUUCUAGAAUUUCUCCUUAUUGGGAGAAGCUGUUUGACCAACUUCUAGUAAAUUAGAGAAGUUCAGCUGAAACUGGUUUGAAGUGCCACCUUCUUUUUGCUGCACAAAGAGAAGCCCUAGGACAAUGAAGAAGAGUAAUUAAGAAAAAUAUGAGAGCAAAGGAUUUCAGAAGUUGUGUGUGUGCCAGCGGUGGAUAAAUGGUUUGCUGAUUGAGGUAUAAUAAAAAAAAUCGACACAAAAGUAUAUUGGUAUAAUCUGAAUGUCCUUUUACUGUGCACCCAGUACUUGAAAAAAGGAAGUAUUGCUAGAUACAGAAGGAACUUCUGGCAUUUCAUGUACACACAUUAAAAAAUAUUUGAAAACAUUA